rnacentral:lncRNA from 1 species
UUUUUUUUAAUCUAAAGGGCAUUUAUCAGCAUAACUGGUGAAAAAUGAAUAAGGUUUUUAAGAAACACAUAUGCCAAGUAUUCAUUUUUUAUUCACAACACCAAGUAUUUAGAAGUCAUUGGGCAACUUAUUUUCAAAUAGUCCAAAAAUAUGUGUUAUGUAUAUAAACUUAUAAAUAUAAUUAUACAAAUAAGAAUAUAAAUAUAAAAUAUGAACAAUAAUGAUUUUUGAUAUUUAUCCAAAGGAUUGAAAACUUAUGUUCACACAACAACCUGCACAUGGCUAUUUAUAGCAGCUUUAUUCAUAACUGCCAAAACUUGGUUGCAACCAAUAUGUCCUUCAGUAGGUGAAUGGAUAAAUAAACUGGUAUCCAGACAAUGGAAUAUUUUUCACAACUGAAAAGAAAUGAGCUAUCAGGCCAUGAAAAGACAAGAAGGAAUCAUAAGGGCAUAUUACUAAGGGAAAAAGGCCAAUCUGAAAAAGCUACAUACUGUAUGAUCCCAACUACAGAACAGUCUAGAAAAGGUAAAACAAUGGAGACAGUAAAAGGAUCAGUGGUUGCCAGGGGUUGAAGGAGUGGGAUGAAGAAGUAGAGCACUGAGGAUUUUCAAGGCAUUGAAAAUAUGCCAUAUGAUGAAUAUAUGUCAUUAUACGUUUGUCCAAAUUCAUAGAAUGUAUAACACCAAGAAUGUAUAUUGCUCAAGAGUGAACAAUAUAACUAUGGACUUUGGGUGAUAAUGAUGUACCAAUGUAGGUUCAUCAACUGUGCAAAAGUACCACUCUGGUACAGGAUGUUGAUAAUGGAGAAGGUUAUGCAUGUGUAGGGGCAGAGGGGCAUAUGGGAAAUUUCUGUUCCUUCCUCUCAAUUUUGCUGUGAACUUAAAACUGCUCUUUAAAACAGUUUAAACAAAGUCAACAAGCAAAAUAUCCUCAAUAAUAAAUAGGACAAAAUGGCAUUUUGAGCCUCCUGACGUGAUACAAGAGCAAGGGCACAAUACCACCUAUGAAGUCUUCUUUCUAAAAAUGUUCAAAUGAAUCUUGUGAAAACAGACAAGUUCAGAUUGUGAGAUAUAUGUAGGAGAACUGCCUGAAAUAAUCAAAAAUACCAAUUUUAUGAAAAAUUAAAAGAAAAGAAUGGGAAGUUCCUACUCCAGAUUUUAAAAGACUAAAGGGGCAUGGUAACUAAAUACAGUGCAUGAUUCUUGACUGCAUCUUGCAUCAAAACAAAUAAAAAGAUAUAAAGGAUAUUGUUAGGACAGUAUUUUAGAUAAUUUUAUCAAUGUUGAAUUUUUCUGAGUCUGAUAACAUCCUUGUUCUUAAGAGAUACACAUGAAGCAUUUAAGCCUGAAGUGUCAUGAUACCCACAAGUUACUUCCAAAUGGUUUAGCAAAAAAUAUGUAUAUAUAUAUAUAUUUAUGUAUUUAUAAAGAGAUAUAAACCAUAUGUAGAAAAAUAAACAACUGAUGGAUCUACAUGAAGGAUAUCUUUUGACUUUCCUGAAGAGUUGACAUUUCAUAAAAUAAAAAAUUAGUGAAGAAAAUAACAUUUGGAGAUAUAAAGCUUAACCCUAAUUCUAAUUAUAAAUCCUGCUGAUAAAUUAAGAAGUAAAUCAAUGCAUUCACUUAUUUUGGCAGAAUAUUUUCUGAAAAAUAAAAGAAAGAAAAAAGAUAUUCAGUAAAAGGAUGGAAAAAGAAAUACCAUCCAAAUAGACAAAGGCAAGUUUAUCAGACCAAAUAGCGUUUAAAUCCAAAAAGGUCAAACAAGUACUAAAAAGGAUAAAAGGUGUAUCUAUUAUAGACUUGUUUGCACAUAAUAAUAAAGCUUCAAAUACAUAAAGCAAAAAUUUACAGAACUACAAGAAUUUGACAAAUUUACAAUUAUACUAGGGGGUUUUUUUUGGGUUUUUUUUUUUUGGCCACCCCACAGCAUAUGGAGUUCCUAUGCCAGGGAUCAGAUCUGAGCUGCAGUUGCCACCUACACCACAAUUGUGGCAAGACCAGAUCCUUAACCCACUGGGCCAGGCCAGGGACCAAACCUGCAUCCCAGUGCUGCUCCAGAGAGGCCGCCAAUCCCACUGCACCACAGCAGGAACUCCAUCACUGGGAGAUUUUAAAUCUUUCUCAAUAAUUGAAAGAUCUAGCAAACAAACAGAAUUAAGAGUGAUAUAAAAGAUAAUUUUAAUGUCACUCUUGCUGACAAGACAGUCAGCAAGUUUGAUGGACAUUUACAGAGUGCACAUGUAACAAUUAGAAUAUACAAAACAUUUUCAGGCACAAAUAAAUUGAUAAUGUUCUCUAGAACAUAAAGCAUGUCUCAAUAAAUACUAUAUAGUCAGUAUCAUGUAAACUACAUUGUUUGUACAAAAUGUAAUUAAAUGGGAAAGAAUAACAUAAUGUCAAGCUAGAAAAUAUCCAUAUACCCUAAGGAAAAAAUAAAACUGUCACUGUUUGCAGAUGACAUGACACUAUAUAUAGAAAAUCCUAAAGAUGCCACCAGAAAACUAGUACAGCUCAUCAAUUAAUUUGGUAAAGUCAUAGGGUACAAAAUUAAUACACAGAAAUCUGCUAGAUUUCUAUACACUAACAAUAAAAGAGCAGAAAGGGGCAGAUGCAUAGAUAGAACAAACUAGUGGUUACCAGCGGGAGGAGAGGGGAGGGGUACUAUAGUGGUGGUGAAUUGGGAGGUGUACACUAGAGGGUAAAGAAAGGCUCAAGAAUGUAUUGUACAGUAUGGGGAAUAUAGCUAAUAUUUUGUAAUAGCUGUAAAUGGAAAGUAAUCUUUAAAAUUGCAUAAAAAUUUUUAAAAAAUUAAAAAAAAAUCAAUGUAUUUUUUGUCUUGGUUUUUAAAUACCAUGUCCCUCUAAAAAGUACCAUAAAUUCAUAGGGAAAUGGUUAAUGAAGCAGGAAAUAUAAGACAAGCCUGAAAUGGUUAAUGAAGCAGGAAAUAUAAGACAAGAAAGUAAGGAAAUGCUGAAGUCAAAGUAUGUAUCAAAGAAUGAUGGGAAUGUGUCAAAUGCAUAGAGAAUCCAGCUUGAAUGGAUUGCCACUGGGACAAUUUGAUCAUUAAAAUAAAUGACAGAAAUAGCAUAUUUAUGAAAUAAAGUAUGGAAUAGGAAGUAUUUUAAACCACAUAACUGAUCAGAAAUUAAUACCCAAAAUAUAUAUGGAACUCAUACAACUCAACGGUGGAAAAACAAUCCAACUCAAAAAGGUGAGAAAUAUUUGAACAGACAUUUUUUCAAAGACAUACAGAUGGCCAAUAGGUACAUGGAAAGGUGCUCAACAUCACUAAUCAUCAGAGAAAAGCAAGUCAAAACCACAAUGAGAUAUCUCACACUUGAUAGAAUGGCUUUAACAAAAACAGAAGGUAAUAAAUGCUGGUGAGGAUACAGGGAAAAGGGAACCCUUGCACAUUCCUUGAUAGGAAUGUAAAUUGAAAUAUCUACUAUGGAAAACAGUAUGAAGGUUCCUAAAAAAAAAAAAAGAAUUAAAAUAGGGCUAUCAUACGAUCCAGCGAUUCUACUCCUCGAUAUAUCUGAAGGAAAUGAAAUUACUAUCUCAAAGAGAUAUUUUCAACCUUUAUGUUUACUGCAUCAUUAUUUACAAUAACAAAGAUGUGGAAAAAAUCUAAAUGUCCACUGAGAGAUGAAUGGACAAAGAAAAUGUGGUGUGUAUAUAUAUAUAUAUAUAUAGUGGAAUAUUAUUCAGCUAUAUAAAGAAGGAAAUCCUGCCAUCUCUGACAUAAUAGAUAAAACUUGAGAGCAUUAGGCUAAGUGAAAUAAGUUAGCAGAGAGAGAAAAAUAUUGUAUGUUUUCACUUAUAUAUGGAACAUAAAAAAAAAAGUCUGAACUCACACAAACAGUAGAUUGGUGGUUUCCAGGGGUUGGGAGGGUGGGGGAAAGGUGAAGGUGAUAAAAGGGUAUAAACUUUCAGUUGUAAUUGUAUUGGGGAAAUAAUUAAAAAAAUAAAAUAAAAUAAACUUUUGGUUUUAACAUAAAUACAUUCUGGAAGUUUAAUGUACAGCAUGAUGUAUACUAUAAUUAAUGCUACUGUUAUAGUAUAUAUAGUUAUAUAACUAUAGUUAUAGUAUAGUUAAUACUAUAGUACAGUGACUGUAGUUAACAAUUGUGUAUUGUAUACUUAAAAGUUGCUAGGAGAGAGGUCUUAAAAGUUCUCACCGCACACAAAAAAAAUCAUAACUGUGAGAUGACUGAUGUGUUAACUAAUCUUAUUGUGGGUAAUCAUUUUGCAAUAUAUACAUGUAGCAUAUCAUCACACUGUACACUUUAAACUUACAACACUAUAUGUUAAAUGUUUCAAUGAAGCUGGAAAAAAGGAACAAAAAUAGACCUUACAUUAUCCAUUUGAAAUACAUGUUCUCCCAAACACAUUCCUUUUUCAGUGAGUAUAAGUAUAUAAUCUUGAUAAUAAAGGUUUAUGAAACAAAAAAUUGAAACAAUGUGAAAUUUCUAUUUUGACACAUGUACUGAAGUUAGUAAGAGAUUGGCAUCAUUUGGAGGAAAACAUACACUGAAGUAUUGACAGAUAAAGGAGCAUGAUGUCUGCAAGUUACUCUCAAAUAGUUGAGAAAGGAAGAGGAGAAAGUAGAAGAGAGGGGAAGUGAUUGGGGGAGGAGGGGAGGAAAAAAUGGGACGAGAGGGAGAAACACAAACUGAAAUAGAGAAUGAUAAAGCAAACAUGGAAAAAUAGUAAUUGGUGAGUCUAGGUAAAGGGUAUAUGGGAUUUCUUUGUAAUAUUCUCACAAUUUUUCUUUAAGCAUAAAAUUAGAUUAAAACAAAAAGUUUAAUAACACAUGUAUAAAUAUGAGCAAUAACUCCAUCACUGAAUAGAAUAAUCACAGUUUUCCAUUUAAUGGAAGAAAAAGUUUUAUAUUGCUAAAAUCUUUUGGGAUGAGAAGCCAGUAUAUAAAUUUGCUUUAUGUUACCAGAUGAAUAAAACACAUUAAAUAUUUUAAAGCAGAAAAAAAGAUAAAGUUUAACUAUAACUGGAUUAAUGAUGUCACAAUAUGAUUUCUAAAAAAGAGACCUCUAUGUCUGUAAAUUUUUUAAAGAACCAAAUAAUUCAUGAAUCAAAAAGAAAUCAUAAAAGAAAUUAGGAAAUAAUAAUAAAAUAGUACACAUAAAAUCCUGUGAAAUUCUUCUAAAGUGGUACAUAGUAGAACAUUUAUAGUUAUAAAUUCUUAUUUUAGGAAAGAUUUAAAAUAAAUCGAUUAGAAAUACAGCAAACAAAUAGUAAAGAAAAAAUAAAAGGAAAAAUUAUUAAAAUAGACAAAAUAUUAAAUGGUGAGGACUGAUGAAACCAAAAGAAGGAAAUAUAUUAGAAAAUCGAUUAUUGUAAUUCAUCACACAGUCACAUUGUCGUAUUAAUGGAGGAAAAAAAACCCAUAUGAUCGGGGAGUAGAUACAAAGUAUUUGGAGAUAAAACUCCACAUUCAUUCAUAAUAAAAGCUCUCAGCAAACUAAGAAUACAAAGGAAAUUUUUUAACCUGAAAAAGAAAACCUACUAAAAAUGGUAAACACGUAUAGAAUCCCCUUGUAUAUUCAGAAGCAAGACAAGGAAAUCCUCUACCACUGCCACUAUUUCUUUUUGUACCGAAGACUCUAGCUAGCACAGUAAGGCAAAUUUAAAAAGCCAAUAUUGGAAAGGAAGAAACUGUCGUUAUUCACAAUAUGACUAAUUAACAUACAAUCCAAAGAAUCUACAAAUUAUUGGAACAAAUAGAAUUCAGAAAGGUUACGGUAUAUAACAUCAGUAUAUAAAAAUAUCAAUCAUGUAAAUAAAAAAAAUCAAUCAUGUUCCCAUUUACCAGCAAUAAUCUGAAAAUGUGGUUUAAAAAGUGUAUUUCACAGUAACAGCAAAAACCAUAAGGUAAUUAGGAGUGAAUCUAACAGAACAGCUUAUAUAUAACAUUAUUAUAUGGUAUAUACAUAUGGUUUCAUAUAAUGUAGAAAUGAUUUAAAUUUUAUCAUUUGGUGCUAGCUUUUUGUUUUUGAGUAAUUAUUUCUUCAUUUUAAAAAUUUAUCUUGGCCAUGCCUGUGGCAUGUGGAAAUUCCAGGGCCAGGGAUCGAACCUGCAACACAGCAGCCACCUGAGCUGCUGCAGUGACAACGCCAGAUCCUCAACCCACUGCACCACAAAGGAACUCUGGGGUAGUUAUUUUUAAUGUGUCAUAAUCAACUCUUAUUCUUCUCCCUCUUUUAAUAAGUUUUUGGUAAAGAGAUUACCUUAAAAAUCACAACUUCCUGGUGUAGAACAUCAGAAAAAGCAGGGUAGCAUUGUCAAUAAUCUUCAUUGUCUUCACUGAGUGAACUAUUUUAUGAAUGCACUAAGGAAACAGAGUCAGGUGCUUGCUUCGGCAGCACAUAUACCAAGGAAAUAGAGUCAUACUGCAAUCCCUCAAAGACUGAAAAAUAGUAAAAUAAAGUGAAAUCAUUUCUUCUUUACUGUUUAUCUCUUUCCCCUGGCCUCCUCAAAUCCCUAUGCUCUAACAUACUCCCCCCCCCAAAAAAAGUUAUAUAGACAGUAUUAGGAGGGAACUAUUGCUUAGCAAUUAAGAGAACAAACUCUGGGAGGCAUUGUAGACCAGUGCCUGGCACAUAAAGAUGUUCAGUAAAUAUUCGCUAUUAGUAUAAUUUUCAAUGAUUUGAAUCACUGGAGGCAAUUAUGUAGCUCUUGCACUUCUUGACCUAAACAACUUCAUUUUCUGUUUGAGCGGUGCUAUCCCUAUGGUUUCCCACUACUCCCACACCACCACCCUUUGGACAGAGGUGAAGUUGAGGGAAAUCAGGCUGUAAGGAAUGUGACUGGGUAAUACUUUCAAGCACAACAGAGCUCAUUCUUUUUCUAUGCACCACUAUCAAACCCCAAGUCUGGAACCCCCUUAGCUGCCACUGUUUCACUCCUAUAUGCUUUGGUUAUCCAUUCCGUAGAGCUCCUAGCACAAUGCCUAGUCCAUUGAAAGGGCUCCUUAAGGGUUUACCGCAUGAAUGAGGAAAGGAUGCCCUUUCGGAUUACAAGAAUUUGUGAGGUUUGGAUCAGAUUUUAUUUUUUGCAUCCUAUAAGUUCAUCUAAAUCGAAGAUUUUUUCUAACAGUGAACGGGAUUCCUAAAAUAUAUCACUUUCUUGAAACUCUUCAAUGGUUGUCACUACUUAGGGAUUAAACUGCAUACUCGUUAGCAUAUCAUUCAAGGCUCUGCAAUACUCUAUUUCACCUCCUAAUUAUUCUCAUAGAUUCAGAAUUAUAGCCAAGCUUUUCCUAGAACAAACCUGCCUUGGAGCUUUUGUUCUGGAAAUGCUAGGCCCGAAGAAAAGCAUUCCCUCCCCCUCCACAUGGCAGACAUCACUCACUUUUUAAGGCCCACCCAAAGUUACCCCUUCCUCUUUGAUGGAUCAUGAUUACUACCAGGCAGAAUGACUUGGUUCAUCCUCUGUGCUUCCUGAAUACCUUGAACAAGAAAACAUAAUAGCACUUGGGUAUGACUUACCGUAUUUAACAUUUUUUUACUCAUUAAAUUCUCCUGCCCCACACAGAGAAACACACUUUUGAAGGCUCACCUUAACAAUACUGUUAGAACCGUGCUAGCCAUAGGAAUUAGGCCUUCAACACAAUGUUGUUAUUGAUCUUGAGCUAAGCAUUUUUUAAUGGAAAAGUUUCAAAUAUACACAAAAGUUAACAACAACAGUUUAAUGAGUCCUCAUGUAUACAUUACUUAGCUUUAGUGAUUAUAAACUCAUGAACAUUUUGUUUGUACCCCUUAUCUGGACCCUACUGAAUUACUUUCAAGCAAUCAACAUUUUCUUUUUAAAUUUAACCACGAUUUCUUAAAAAUAUAACCACGACUGUCAUAGCUAAUAUAUUAAAAAUAAUUGUUAUUAAAUAUCUAUACAUUCUUCCAAGCAUAUUUUGUGAAACAGCUAGUUUAUGUCUGCAUGUUCUUUCUUCAUUUGGAAAUCGUGGAGAGAACAUGGAAAGGGAUAAAGAGAUCGGGGAAAAUGCAUAAUCAAGUUUCAGAAAGCCUGGAUAUCCCAAAAGAGAAAGAAAGAAUCUGACCUGGUUUGGGGUGGGAGAAGUGUGUUGUACUACUUCUCCGGAGGAGGUGGGUGCGACUUCAGGCCCGGUGAUGCAGGAGUAGGUGCGGAAGGGAGAGGGGUACUACCUCCGUUAGGAGUUCCUUCUGGAUAAUCCCACCUUGGAGCUAAAAGACAGCGCUUUUUUGGCGGCUUGGUUUCCCGCGUGUUUCCAGGUGGGAGUGUGGAUCUCCCGGAGGCACAAGGUUGGUCACCCAUAAGGAUUACAGGACCCGGGCGUCAGCUCUUUCCGGUGGGCCCUGAUGAGGCCAAGAGACCUGAGAUGGCGGCGGGUCCC